rnacentral:rRNA from 1 species
CCUACGGGUGGCUGCAGUGGGGAAUAUUGGGCAAUGGGCGCAAGCCUGACCCAGCAACGCCGCGUGAAGGAAGAAGGCUUUCGGGUUGUAAACUUCUUUUCUGAGGGACGAAGAAAGUGACGGUACCGCAGGAAUAAGCCACGGCUAACUACGUGCCAGCAGCCGCGGUAAUACGUAGGUGGCAAGCGUUAGCCGGAUUUGUUGGGUGUAAAGGGCGUGUAGGCGGGAAAGCAAGUCAGAGGUGAAAACUCAGGGCUCAACCCUUAGCCUGUAUUUGAAACUGUGUUUCUUGAGUGCUGGAGAGGCCAUCGGAAUUCCGUGUGUAGCGGUGAAAUGCGUCGAUCUACGGCGGAACACCAGUGGCGAAGGCGGAUUGCUGGACAGUACCUGACGCUGAGGCGCGAAAGCGUGGGGAGCAAACAGGAUUAGCUACCCGAGUAGUC